rnacentral:lncRNA from 1 species
CUGAGACAAGGUCUUGCUCUGUCACCCAGGCUAGAGUGUGCUCCAUUAUCACAGCUCACUGCAGCCUUGACCUCCUGGGCUCAAGCAAUCUUCCGGCCUCAGCCUUCUGAGUAGCUGGGACUACAGGUACAUACCACCAUGUCUGGCUAAUUUUUGUAUUUUUUGGUAGAGACGGGGUUUUGCCAUGUUGCCUAGAACUCUAGGCAAAACAUGUUGCCUUGAACUCUAGGUAAAACAUGUUGUCUUGAACUCUAGGCAAAACAUAUUGUCUUGAACUCUGGGGUUCAAGUGAUCUGCCCGCCUUGGCCUCCCCAAGUGCUGGGGUUACAGGUGUGAGCCAUUGUGCCUGGCUCCUCUUAGCUGUUUUUUUCUUUUCUUUUUUUUUUAAGGCAUUCUCCCUCCCAAGUAGCUGGAAUUAACAGGCGCUUGCCAUCAUGACCAGCUAAUUCAGCUAAUUUUUGUAUUUUUAGUAGAGGCAGGUUUCGCCAUGUUGGCCAGGCUGGUCUUGAACUCCGGACCUUAAGUGAUCCAUCUGCUUCUGCUGUCCAAAGUGCUUGAAUUACAGGUGUGAGCCGCCGUGCCUGGCCUUGCUCUUAGCUUUUUGAAGGGACUGCCUCAUCUCAUAAAGAUUUGUUUACUGUGACCCUUGCCUUUAAAAAUUUCCCCAAUUUUGAACUGUUGAGUCAGAAGCCUUGAAACCUAGGUAAUUUUUGCUCUCAGGUUCAAAGAAACAAAAUACAUUUAUCUUUAGGUUUUUUUUUUUUUUGUUUGUUUGAGACCGAGUGUCACUCUAUCACCAGGCUGGAGUGCAGUGGUGCGAUCUCAGCUCACUGCAACCUCCGCCUCCUGGGUUCAAGUGAUUCUCCUGCCUCAGCCUCCCGAGUAGCUGGGACUACAGAUGCGCAUCACCACACCCAGCUAAUUUUUGUAUUUUUAGUAGAGACGAGGUUUCACUGUGUUGGCCAGGAUGGUCUCAAUCUCUUGACCUCAUGAUCCGCCCACCUCUGCCUCCCAAAGUGCUGGGAUUACAGGCGUGAGCCACCACGCCGGCCUGUCUAGGUUUUAAGGAGUGGCUUUGAAAUAUAUGAGCAGAAUUUAAGACUUAUCAUUUUUCAGAGAUGAGACCAUGAUAGUUCAUUUGUAGUGUGUCUUUGAGGAGGAUACUAAUGCAGAUAAAUAUCCACAGAGCUUUAAUUAUUUUUGGUGUUACAAAGUUUAUCUGUGUGAUCUUGUUUUCCUUCUAUGUAAGAAAAACAUGUUAUAUAGAUCCCUUGCAAGGACGUUAUUUACUGAAGCUCUUAGAAGGAUGCUAAACUUGAGGCUGUUUCAGGUGAGUAUCCUCAGGAGAGUGUUGAAAUUGUUUCUGGAACACUGGCUAGGUUGAAAACUACUUGAAAAAUGCACUUACCUGAGCUGGGUGCCUUAAUUUUUUUCUUUUAACUUGACUGGUAGUUUCACAUUUCUAUUAAGUACUUCCUGUUAAGUACUUCUGAGUACUUAAUUUGCUGAGAGGACAGUAGUCUGUUUGGGGAUAGCGCUAGAUUGCAGUGGUAGCUCAAAUUGCUCAUCUUUUACCUGUCUAGGUGAUUGAGACCUGUAUUUUGUACUUUUUGACACAGCAGUAGUGUAAGACAGUGCCUGAGUAAAACUUAAAAUUUAGGAGUUGGCUGGGCACGGUGGCUCACGCCUGUAAUCCCAGCACUUUGGGAGGCUGAGGUAGGUGGAUCACCUGAGGUCAGGAGUUCGAGACCAGCCUGACCAACAUGGAGAAACUCCGUCUCUACUAAAAAUACAAAAUUAGCCUGGCGUGAUGGUGAAUGGCUGUAAUCCCAGCUACUCAGGAGGCUGAGGCAGGAGAAUCGCUUGAACCUGGGAGGCGGAGGUUGCGGUGAGCUGCGAUCACGCCAUUGCACUCCGGUCUGGGCAACGAGAGCGGAACUCCGUCUCAAAAAAAAAAAAAAAAAAAAAUUAGGAGUUACUUACAUGUCUAUUACGAAGGCUAAUGUUUUGUGUUAGAUAAGAUCUCUGUCUGAUGUAUCCUAUGUUACUUACAGUAUGUAUAUGUAUCCAGAGCAGUUAAGAGUUUCAGCUACUAUUUGACCUUGGGAACUUUAAAAUGGACUUCACGUUUAUAUAAACACUUAUUUUUCUUGUUUUGAAAAGAAGGUAACAUCAACCUCCUGGAGAUGGGAUGAGGACUAAAUGAGAUGAAUGUUAAAGAAACUGUUGGCCGGGCACGGUGACUCAUGUCUGUAAUCCCAGCACUUUGGGACGCCAAGGCGAGUGGAUCACCUAAGGUCAGGAGUUGAAGACCAGCCUGGCCAACAUGGUGAAACCCUGUCUCGACUAAAAAUACAAAAAUUAGCUGGGCAUGGUGGUGGGUGCCUGUAAUCCCAGAUACUCAGGAGGCUGAGGCAGGAGAAUUGCUUGAACUGGGAGGCCGAGGUUGCAGUGAGCCGAGAUCGAGCCCUUGUGCUCUCGCCUGGGUGACAAGAGUGAAACUCCAUCUCAAAAAGAAACUGCCUAGGCCGAGUGCCGUGGCUUACUCCUGUAAUCCAGCACUUUGGGAAGUCGAGGUAGGAGAUCACUUGAGUUCAGGAAUUUGAGACCAGCUUGGGCAACAUGAUGAAACCCCAUCUCCACAAAAAAAUACAAAAACGACCUGGGCAUGGUGACUUGCGCCUGUAGUCCCACCUGCUUGCGGGGCUGAGGUGGGAAGAUCGCUUGAGCCCAGGAGGUGGAGGUUGCAGUGAGCCAAGAUCAUGCCACUGCACUCAAGCUUGGGCAAUAGAAUGAGACCCUGUCUCAAAAAAAAAAAAAAAAAAAAAAACUAUGAAAAGUAUUCUGUCUUUGUUAGUGCUAUCUGGUUCGUAGGAUUAGGCG